AGCCUGCCCACUGAUUAAAAUUUAAAGGGCCGCGGUAUACUGACCGUGCGAAGGUAUAAUAAUCAUUAGUCUUUUAAUUGAAGGCUUGUAUGAAUGGUUGGACAAAAAGUAAGCUGUCUCAGUUAUAAUAAUUGAAUUUAACUUUUAAGUGAAAAGGCUUAAAUGGAUUAAGGGGACGAUAAGACCCUAUAAAGCUUGACAAUAAGUUAAUUAUAUUAUAAAUUGUUAGUAUAACUUGAUUUUAAUUGACGUUUGUUACGUUGGGGCGACGAGAAUAUAAUGAGUAACUGUUCUUAAAUGUUUAUUGACAAAUAUAAUUGGUAUUUGAUUGAUCCUUUAUUAAAGAUUAAAAGAUUAAGUUACUUUAGGGAUAACAGCGUAAUCUUCUUUGAGAGUUCAUAUCGACAAGAAGGUUUGCGACCUCGAUGUUGAAUUAAGGUAUCCUUAUGAUGCAGCAGUUAUAAAGG
rnacentral:rRNA from 1 species